rnacentral:rRNA from 1 species
CAGCAGCCGCGGGAAUACGGAGGGGGCUAGCGUUGUUCGGAAUUACUGGGCGUAAAGCGUACGUAGGCGGCUUUGUAAGUUAGAGGUGAAAGCCUGGUGCUCAACACCAGAACUGCCUUUAAGACUGCAUCGCUUGAACGUCGGAGAGGUGAGUGGAAUUCCGAGUGUAGAGGUGAAAUUCGUAGAUAUUCGGAAGAACACCAGUGGCGAAGGCGGCUCACUGGACGACUGUUGACGCUGAGGUACGAAAGCGUGGGGAGCAAACAGGAUUAGAUACCCCGGUAGUCCCUGUCUCUUAUAC